rnacentral:misc_RNA from 1 species
UCUAUUCAAGUAACUGAAUUUACUAUUCGUGAUGCAUACACGCUUAAAAUUUUUGAGGACAACCAAACAAACCUGCCUGGCUGGUGCAACAAGAAGGAUGGCGAGCAGGCUCAGCUCCCAUUCUGCCAGAUUCUUGGUGAGUAUUGGAUGGAAUUGCUUGGAUAUAACAGCGUAGAGCCAUAUGCCAAUAUGAACGAAAACUGUCCAUCCUUACCUCCCAGUUAUGAUAGGCCUGAGCGUUGUUAAUUUGAAAUCAACUAAUUUGUUAGUACUAAAAUGCUGUCCUUCCAUCAAGUACACAAUGUACCAGUUUCUUAGCUGCAAAGAUGUAUUUCGAGAACAAUAAGUGGUAUAUAUUUUCUCUUUCCCGCGUCCUACUGAAGAUAUGCUGAGGCAAUGCUGUACAUAAAUACUGUCUUUACUGGAACAGCA